rnacentral:tRNA from 1 species
GCGCCGCUGGCCUAACCGGUAAGGCCCUGGACUUUUAAUCCAGCCGAUCCGAGUUCGAGUCUCGGGCGACGCA